AUGGCGUGUGGUCUGAGCUGGCUUCUCCUGGUGGCUGUGCUUGGAGGGGUUCGGUGUGAGGUGCAGUUGUUGGAGUCUGGGGGAGACUUGGUGAAGCCCGGGGGUUCCUUGACACUCUCCUGUGCAGCCUCUGGAUUCAAUUUUGGCAGAUAUUGGAUGCACUGGGUCCGCCAGGCCCCAAGGAAGGGCCUAGAGUGGGUCUCACUCAUUAAUCCUCUUGGUACAUAUACAGAGUAUGCCGACUCUGUGAAGGGCCGAUUCACCAUCUCCAGAGACAACAGCAAGAACACGCUUUCUCUACAAAUGAGCCGCCUGAGGGAGGACGACACUGCCCUGUACUACUGUGCAACAGACACACUGCAUAGUGUUGCAUUGUGUAUUUUUCACUACAAUUUUUUGUCUGUAGAAUUUUCAUUAAGAAUUAGGGUAGAACUCUGGACGCAGAAACCAGCCGCCACCACCAGGCCCCCGGGCAGGGGCAGCUCCAGCAUCUCCAGCCACUUCCUCAGGGAGCGCCAGUCCAUGUAG